rnacentral:lncRNA from 1 species
CGCUCCAGGCGCCCGGAGCCGUUCGUGUCGUAGGUGGCGAAGACGGAGCGCAGCCGGGUCAGCUCCUCAGGGUCCGCGUCCGCCUCCAUGGCGCCGCUGGCCACCGCGGGGCUCCGAGCUCCGGGGCUCGGCCAGUGGAGCAGGUCCGGCCGGUUCCGCCACCUGCCGCGGGCGGGGAUGUCCGGGUGAGGCGGGGCGCAGGAGAGCCAGACGCUCGCCUCCAGCUGCAGCCGCCCGACUGCUGCCCUGAGCCACAGAGCGCCACUGGUCACCUUCCUGACAGCUGGACCAUCUCUCUGUUAAGCUUUGGGGACUUGCUGGAGGCACAAACACAGAUCAUAAUGGCCUCUUAUUCAAGUUCUCCUCUGCACCCCAGAUACUGACCCUGCCUGCCUGAACAUGGAGUGCAAACACACCCGCACCGACCAAAGGGGGAAAGUGAGUAGAGAUAAGAUUCCAAAUUGGCUAAAGUUAUUGGCCAUGUAUCCUCUCGUAAUUCCAGACACAUGGCUUGCAGUCACCCACUGCCACUAGCUCCCCAAUGUUUAGAGCUUUAUUUUAUGUAUUGCCAUUUCUUUUCAUUGUCUACUUUCUGACUGAGGCAGAAAAACAACAGCAACUGUCCUUACGGGUGUAAGUUUUAAGAAGAGAAAAACGGUAGGGUUGUGUUAGAAUGGACUGGGAUGUAAUAGAAUAUAUUUGAUUGGCUACGUUAAUUAGGGGAAACCGGCACAGCAUUGCCACAAUGGAAUGCAAAAUCAAUUUCAGGAAGGAGAGAUUUAUUAUAGUUUACAAGUCCACAGGAUACAAGCUAUCAAGGCUGCAGGAACCUUUGGGACAUCACUAGCAGUGCUCUGUGAGGAAAGCCAAGUUACGGAAAACUCAAUUACCCUGCUGCCUUAGAAGAAUGGAGGUAUUAUGUUAGAAGAAAGACAUACAACUCAGACCCAAAUGGCAUGUGGUAACAGUGGACUCAGACUGACAGUUACAAGUGUAACUUCACUCCUACAACUGCAGCAGACCAGCAAACUAAAUGUGUUUGGAAGAGGACAUGGAUACAAGAAGAUGAUGGAGUGCACACUGAGAACAAUAUGGUUUUGAAUAUGGCUCAGAAGGCCCUGGGUAUUUCAAUUUAAGUUUUGUGGUUAAAUUUUUGCUGAUUGAUCUGAAACACAUUUUGGUUUUGUUGAUUUUUCUAGAUAUUGAUUGAGGGGUUGAUAUGUUCUUACAUUUAACUGUGCUAAUCUGUGAUCAUGAUGACCCAUUUUGUUCAUUAAAAUAUUAUAUAUGCAUCCUAUGAGACAUAGUCAUCAAGGAGGAGGCCUUCAGGUACUUUACUUAGAAGUAUAUGCUUUCAAUUAGGAUGUAACUCUCCCAGGGUGAGAAGCUGUGUGUGGGACAUGGCUGGACCUGAAGGAAGUAGAUCAUUCGGAGAGACAUAGAAGAUCAAUGGUAGUCCAGACACGAGACAAGUCAUGGUGCUGCUCUAGAGUUCUAUCCAUCUUGCACUCUGGGGACUAUAUUUCACUUUUCAUUACUUCCUGAUCAAACUGAACCUUGGUGUUCUGCUUGUUCCACCUGUGCCCUGCUGUGAAUUCAUCUCCUUCAGGAAGACAAGAAGCAAAACUCCUGCCAAGCUUGGGAUCUGGUGGAAGAGAAGAGGAAGUGUUCUCAUGCAUUUCAGUAAGACUUUCAUCUCAGGACAUAAGUCACGAAAUAAAAGAGACAUGAUUCUAAGUGGGGCUUAUAGAGCAGAUUAUGUCUUAAAUAUCAAAGAGAACUUUGAGACUGUGCAUAUACCAAGAGAGCAGAAAGCUCCACAGGUUUCUGAAAAGAAUGUUGUUUCACAUUUAAGAAAGCACACGGACCAUUUAUCCAAUACCACCAUCCCUAAAAUUAUAAUACAAUAGCAUUAUACAGAAUGAGCAUAUUGUACUUAGGAAUAUAUAUGGACAUAUAUGCAUCUAUUUAUCCAUAUGUAACAAUAUGGAAGAAAAGAGUUCCUGAAUUUGAAAGAGAACCUGGAGGAAUAUAUGGGAAGAUUUUGAGAGAGAAAAGAAAAAGGGGAAAUGAUUUAAUUAUACACAUUUAACACUCUUUGAAUCUUCGUGAGUUCCACAUCAUGAACCCCAGUCCCACUAAUCUCCCCAUCUCCUUGUACCUGGCGUCCACCUUACCACCCUCCCUGUG